CCUUUUUGUAGUUAGAGAAGCCCAAAGGCAAAGUGAAGAAAACGACGGUUGAAGUCAUGUAGUUUAGUUGACGGAGAUCCCAUAGAGUAGAGGGUGAGGCGAUGAUAUAGAAGUCCGUUUGAGGGGAGAUCAAAGAGCUCAGGAGACCCACAAUUGCAUCAUCGCAGAAGACAACACAGGGUUUGUUUCUCUGAAGCUCUGAAUACGAUUCCUCAGUUGACGAUCAAUGAUCCGAAAAAGCACAUCAACUGAUCUGAAUUUGUUUGAGUGCAAGCGUUCAUUCCUUUCAGUCCACAGCCAGUAGAUCGUUGAUUUCCACCCAAGAAGAACUAGCAGAGUGCGAGGGCGUCGGUUCUUGUUCCGGGGAAGGCUGAUCAUUUGUGAUACCGUAGGCUCCCAGUCAUACAAUGGAGUUAGAGCACAGCGAGACGCAGUUAGCGACCAGAGGUCUUUACUGUAAGGGCACUCAUAGUAUAGAUGGUUUCGCGAUUCCACAGCUGUGUUACAGAGAGCACAGAGAGGAGAAACCUGCAAUCCCCAGCGCAGGAGACGAUCCUUUGUGGGACAUCUAUUCUGGAUGACAAGCCAAGUCAAGAAGCUAUGACGAGGGAUUUCAUAAGCAGACCAGACUGAGUUAGCCCAAGCGACAGCAGCUCUCUCACCUCUAAGGGGGUAUCCGCCAGGUACCAUUCCUACAUAGUGAUGCAACCGAGGCCUUCUCCGGUAUACCUAGUCUAGAAGAGGAGCUAGCAAGAAACGUCGUUAGCUGCCCAAAUGGUGACCAAUUAUCGAACCAGAAUCUUGCAGAAGACCCACUCUCUAAUCUUAAUUUGAUCAUAGGAAACACCACUCCCCUUAGUUUGAGGAGUUUAUUUGCUAGCCAUGAGAAGGAAGCACUUGGUUUGGUGGUCCAAUAGUUAUGAACGGAUCCUCUAAGCACCUCUUCCGUAAACCAGGCUACCCAUACAGAUCCCGCACGGAAGAACAACAUCCAAAUUAGUUUCAGACAGGAAGCAGUGUUCCAAGCGCCCAGAUCUCUUAUCCCAAGUCCACCUUGUUCCUUUGUAAAAAACUUUAAUCACAAGAAAGGGAAUAGGCCAGAUCGAUAUCGAGUUGAGGCUCGAUAUAUUGUUUUAAAUUAAAAUGCUUUUUCGUAUUACUAAUUAAGGUGAGGUCAUUGGUAGGCAGAGUGAUUUGUAAGCAUUUCUGAAAUUUCAUAAGUCAAACACAGGAUUUUUAAAUGAUUGGAUAUGCCAGCAACAAAAGCGGUGGACAAAAAUGUGAUAUCGAUAAACCUUCAUACGUUUUUUUUUUCAUAAUAACAAAGGGUAUCUGGAUCUCCGAUUACCGAUUAAUUAUCUUGGACUUGUCU